rnacentral:rRNA from 1 species
UACGUAGGGUGCGAGCGUUAAUCGGAAUUACUGGGCGUAAAGGGUGCGCAGGCGGUCCCGCAAGUCAGGCGUGAAAUCCCCGGGCUUAACCUGGGAAUGGCACUUGAAACUACGGGACUGGAGUGUGGCAGAGGGAGGUGGAAUUCCACGUGUAGCGGUGAAAUGCGUAGAGAUCGGGAGGAACAUCAGUGGCGAAGGCGGCCAUCUGGAUCAACACUGACGCUGAGGCACGAAAGCGUGGGGAGCAAACAGG